UACGUAGGGUGCGAGCGUUAAUCGGAAUUACUGGGCGUAAAGCGUGCGCAGGCGGUUCGUUGUGUCGGCGGUGAAAGCCCCGGGCUCAACCUGGGAAUGGCCGUUGAAACUGGCGAACUGGAGUGUGGCAGAGGGGGGUGGAAUUCCACGUGUAGCAGUGAAAUGCGUAGAUAUGUGGAGGAACACCGAUGGCGAAGGCAGCCCCCUGGGCUAACACUGACGCUCAUGCACGAAAGCGUGGGGAGCAAACAGG
rnacentral:rRNA from 1 species